AUUGAACGCUGGCGGCAGGCCUAACACAUGCAAGUCGAACGAGUGGCGGACGGGUGAGUAAUGUCUGGGAAACUGCCUGAUGGAGGGGGAUAACUACUGGAAACGGUAGCUAAUACCGCAUACCAUCGGAUGUGCCCAGAUGGGAUUAGCUAGUAGGGGGGGUAAAGGCUCACCUAGGCGACGAUCCCUAGCUGGUCUGUGAGGAUGACCAGCCAUACUGGAACUGAGCAACGGUCCAGCCUCCGACGGGAGGCAGAAGUGGGGAAUAUUGCACAAUGGGCGCAAGCCUGAUGCAGCCAGGCGGCGUGUAUGAAGAAGGCCUUCGGGUGGUAAAGUACGUUCAGCGGGGAGGCGUUACCCGCAGAAGAAGCACCGGCUAACUCCGUGCCAGCAGCCGCGGUAAUUC
rnacentral:rRNA from 1 species